rnacentral:rRNA from 1 species
AGAGCGAACGCUGGCGGCAGGCCUAACACAUGCAAGUCGAGCGCCCCGCAAGGGGAGCGGCAGACGGGAGAGUAACACGUGGGAACGUACCCUUUGGUUCGGAACAACACAGGGAAACUUGUGCUAAUACCGGAUAAGCCCUUACGGGGAAAGAUUUAUUGCCAAAGGAUCGGCCCGCGUCUGAUUAGCUUGUUGGUGAGGUAACGGCUCACCAAGGCUACGAUCAGUAGCUGGUCUGAGAGGAUGAUCAGCCUCACUGGGACUGAGACACGGCCCAGACUCCUACGGGAGGCAGCAGUGGGGAAUAUUGGACAAUGGGCGCAAGCCUGAUCCAGCCAUGCCGCGUGGAUGAUGAAGGCCCUAGGGUUGUAAAGUCCUUUCGACGGGAAGAUAAUGACGGUGCCCGUAGAAGAGCCCGGCUAACUCGUGCCAGCAGCCGC